CCCCUUUUCGCCCCAGCUUCGACCUCAGUUUGGUCCUGGUGUCUCCUGCAAAAAAUGUUAUCAUAAGUGAUUUGCGCCUGUGGUAGUUUUACUCUUAAUGAUUGUGCAAUUAGAUCACCUCAGUUUGGUCCUGUUGUCUCCUGCAAAAAUGUGACAUUUCUCUUGUAUAAUAAAUGCUGGGUUGGAAUUGGAUUGCCUGUCAUGCCGUGGUUAGUUUUGUACCUGAUGGAAAACGGAAAUAGAUCGGGUUAUCCUGUGCCAUCGAUGUCAAUGGGACUACAUGUUUAGCUGGUG
rnacentral:lncRNA from 1 species